UCCUCUACAAUCGGCUUCUUUUCCGGUGGCUCCUUUUCCUCCUUUUUCUUCUUCUUCUUCUUCUUCUCUAUCUCGUCCUUCUGAUCCUCACCUCCACCUACAACCGCCACCAUCUCAGCCUCCACGGCAGCUCGCCAUCCUUCACCAUUUCCCUUCUCAAAAUACUUAACAGCAACCUGCAUCCUUCUAAGAAUAGCAAAGAAUUCCUCGACUUCCUCCUC
rnacentral:misc_RNA from 1 species